AUUGAACGCUGGCGGCAUGCGUUACACAUGCAAGUCGAACGGCAGCACGGGAGCAAUCCUGGUGGCGAGUGGCGAACGGGUGAGUAAAGCAUCGGAACGUGCCCAGUCGUGGGGGAUAACGUAGCGAAAGCUACGCUAAUACCGCAUACGAUCUGUGGAUGAAAGCGGGGGACCGUAAGGCCUCGCGCGAUUGGAGAGGCCGAUGUCAGAUUAGGUAGUUGGUGGGGUAAAGGCUCACCAAGCCGACGAUCUGUAGCUGGUCUGAGAGGACGACCAGCCACACUGGGAAUGGGACACGGCCCAGACUACUACGGGAGGCAGCAGUGGGGAAUUUUGGACAAUGGGCGCAAGCCUGAUCCAGCAAUGCCGCGUGCAGGAUGAAGGCCUUCGGGUUGUAAACUGCUUUUGUACGGAGCGAAAAGGCUUCCACUAAUACUGGGGGCUCAUGACGGUACCGUAAGAAUAAGCACCGGCUAACUACGUGCCAGCCGCCGCGGUAACAC
rnacentral:rRNA from 1 species